CUUGUUAUAAUGAAUGAUGGGAAGGGAUAGCUGCAGGCCAGACAGGGCAGAGGCUGCUGGGAGGUGGCUCAACUCUAGGGACAUCUCAUAGUCCACUGGUUGCUAGAGAAGGGGUCCACAUGAUGACUGCGAGGGAAGG